rnacentral:rRNA from 1 species
CUGCGGAGGGAUCAUUACCGAGUUUACAACUCCCAAACCCCUGUGAACAUACCUAUACGUUGCCUCGGCGGAUCAGCCCGCGCCCCGUAAAAAGGGACGGCCCGCCCGAGGACCCCUAAACUCUGUUUUUAGUGGAACUUCUGAGUAAAACAAACAAAUAAAUCAAAACUUUCAACAACGGAUCUCUUGGUUCUGGCAUCGAUGAAGAACGCAGCAAAAUGCGAUAAGUAAUGUGAAUUGCAGAAUUCAGUGAAUCAUCGAAUCUUUGAACGCACAUUGCGCCCGCCAGUAUUCUGGCGGGCAUGCCUGUUCGAGCGUCAUUUCAACCCUCAAGCUCAGCUUGGUGUUGGGACUCGCGGUAACCCGCGUUCCCCAAAUCGAUUGGCGGUCACGUCGAGCUUCCAUAGCGUAGUAAUCAUACACCUCGUUACUGGUAAUCGUCGCGGCCACGCCGUAAAACCCCAACUUCUGAAUGUUGACCUCGGAUCAGGUAGAUGACCUCGAUCCCC